GACGAACGCUGGCGGCGUGCCUAAUACAUGCAAGUCGAACGCUUCUUUCCUCCCGAGUGCUUGCACUCAAUUGGAAAGAGGAGCGGCGGACGGGUGAGUAACACGUGGGUAACCUACCCAUCAGAGGGGGAUAACACUUGGAAACAGGUGCUAAUACCGCAUAACAGUUUAUGCCGCAUGGCAUAAGAGUGAAAGGCGCUUUCGGGUGUCGCUGAUGGAUGGACCCGCGGUGCAUUAGCCAGUUGGUGAGGUAACGGCUCACCAAGGCCACGAUGCAUAGCCGACCUGAGAGGGUGAUCGGCCACACUGGGACUGAGACACGGCCCAGACUCCUACGGGAGGCAGCAGUAGGGAAUCUUCGGCAAUGGACGAAAGUCUGACCGAGCAACGCCGCGUGAGUGAAGAAGGUUUUCGGAUCGUAAAACUCUGUUGUUAGAGAAGAACAAGGACGUUAGUAACUGAACGUCCCCUGACGGUAUCUAACCAGAAAGCCACGGCUAACUACGUG
rnacentral:rRNA from 1 species